GAAGGUAUAGCUCGGUGGUAGAGCACAUGCUUAGCAAGCACGAGGGCCUGGGUUCAAUCCCCAGUGCCUCCA
rnacentral:tRNA from 1 species